rnacentral:lncRNA from 1 species
AAUUAUAUAAGUAGUAUAAUGUAUCGCCUUUUUGUUUUCGUCUAUUUCUUCUGCAUCUCAGUAUUUCCAGUUACUUAUACCAUCGCAUCUUCUAUAAAUAAACCUCUUGAUGUACUCGGUGAAUGGAACAUGUUCAUAAUCAAUGGCAUCAAUGAAGAUAUCACCUUUCAUGUGAGAUCAAAAGAAGAUGAUCACGGAAAUCACACCCUUUCUUAUAAUGGAAUUUACCAAUGGCAAAUUCAUGAAACAACAACUACAUACUAUUGGAGUCAGUUCUGGUGGGGUUCAAAAUAUCAGGAUUUUCAUGUGUUCGAUAGCCGUCAUCCUUCUAAUGUAUGUGUUAAACAAGGAUUUGGUACACAAUAUUGUUAUUGGUUAGUAAGACCAGAAGGUUUUUAUGUAUCUAAUGUAAACAAUCCAUUUCCUUCUAGAAGUUGGGCUCUGGAUCGGACUUGGGCUUGAAACUUGAAACACUUGUAACAUCAAACAAUUGUAUUAACGAACAUGAUAUUACAUAAAUAUAUAAUAAAGUUGUGUUGUCAAUUUCUUUUGUGUUCAUACGAAACUAUUACACAAAUGAUCUAGUGCCUAAAUUUCAAACAUAAUUUUCUUAUAAUGAUUUCAUUUAACAUUUGUAGAAAGAUAAUAAUGUUACUCGGUAUAGACUUCUUAACAACAUUAUGCUUUCCUCCUAUGUCGUAGAUAUUAUUUUAACAUUAUGCUUUCCUUCUAUGACUUAGAUAUUAUUUUGGGUAAACCUCAAUAAUAGUUGACGUGAUUAUAUAUACAAUCAUGUAAUAUAUAUAUAGUGUUUUUUCCCUGUUUCAAGGGCUAAACAACGAUUUUUGGGCUUUAUUUUUUCAUAACUUUUAUAAUUANAUAUAUAUAUAUAUAUAUAGUUUUUUCCCUGUUUCAAGGGCUAAAACCGAUUUUUGGGCUUCAUUUUUUCAUAAAUUUUAUACUUAUUAUAAUUGUGAUUAUUGUUUAUAUUAUAACUUCUACCAUUAUUUUCGUCAUUAAAGGAUUGUUUUCUAGUAGUGCAUGAGUCUUUCCAACAAGUCAGUUAUACAACAAACAUACUAGUAAAAUAUAAUAUGUAUAGUUUAGAGAUCAUACAUAUACGUAUACAAGAACUCGAAGUAAUACUAUACUUAUACAUUUACAAAUGGAACAUAUACACUUACAAAAGGAACACACAUAUACAUAUGCCAGAUACAGAAGGAACAGACACACUAUACAUGUACAUGAUAACUAAAAUGUGAGAUACUACUUCGUGGCACAGCAAUACACUUGCUAUGUCAUGUUUUUUUAACCAGAGUCUGCUGGAGGGAGAGAGUGAGUUUGUGUAUAGAUCUUUAGGAGAAUGACCAUCCCACACCUCGCUGCUAGCUAUAGUGGGACCUGCAACUCCACGAGUGAACAAAUGUCAUACUUGUUCGUCGUCUGAAGAGCGUCAUGUGUUUAUACUAGGUUGAUCAAGUUUGGUUAUAACUUCAAUCACAUUUUAAUCCUAAAUUAACCAACUCGGUUAUAAUUCAGUAAAACUAUCAUUAGAAUAUUUUAACUAAUACAAACAGUUCAUUUUCAUUAUUUUAAGAGAACAAAUGUACAAACAGUCGGGUCUUGGUAGAGGACUACAUUUCAUUAUAAGCAGAAAAUAUAGGAUUUACUGGGUAAGUAAACAAAAUUUUCAUGAUACAAAUACAAUCAUUUUUGUAAAACAAAUUCCAUAUAAUGGCAUUAAAUACUUAUGUUCUUACCAACAUUUAUAUGUCGACACUCUCUUUCAAAAUAACUUAUAUUCUUAGGAAACCAGUAAGACAGGUACACUCGUUUAGCUUUUGAGAUGAUGGAGCGGAAUGCAAUACUCGUCUUAUUCUUUUGUUACAUUCAUUUUUGGUGUCAUUUAAACUUUAUAAAGAACACACUUGUAUUAACUAUACUAUUUAAUGGAAUGAAUGUUGCUGCUUGAUUUACUAUUAUGCAUUGUUAUGAUACUGUACACGACAUCCUCCACCCCCGAAUGUUUCCGCUCAUUCAGUUUGGGGGUGUGACACAUUUGGUAUCAGAGCAUGGUUUAUAGUGAACGAAGUAUAUCAAGCCAUAAAAGAUAUAAAACUAUAAACACAAUGGGAUUAAAGACACUUUGACCAAGAGUUAUACUUUUAAAACAAAACAAGUAUUUUACUAAAAGUAUACACACAUGCAUUCACACUAAGACCAGUAUCAUACAAGAAUAGAACAAAAGUAUUGUGAUUUUUGAACAACACAAGUACGCUUGGGGAUAUAUGGUCAGGUCUGGGAAUUACAUAGGCUGAUCAACUAUGUCAGUCCAAGAAGUGAUUAGCAUAUGCGCAAGAAUGUUUGUAGUGUUGCAGCAAGUCUAAAAACUUACAACUCUAUCAAUAAAGAAACAUCAAGAACACGAAAGAACUUAAAAAUACUAUAGGAGUAUUUUAUGAUACUAUAGUUAACUUAUGUGAAGACUAAAGACCUUUGUUGGUAGGUCUAUAAUUACUGAGUGGAUACGCUAAGGUUAUAUAUAAUAAGGAUUAUAUAGGCUUAGAAUCUGUUGUUUUCGCUUUACUUCCUGUUCCCUGUUUGGUUGUGGACAUAGAGUUGGAUCACUUAUUCGAAGGUCUAUCCUAUCUAAAGUUAUAUAUAACUGGUAUGCACUACGUAAUUAUAUAAGUAUUUGAUAAGGAUCACUCCCCUAUAAUUAUUGAUAGUUUAUAUGUCUAUUAAUUGCCUCUUUUACCCCUAUUCUCGUGUACAUAUCAUGGCGAGAUUUCAUCCUCCUGGAGAUCCGUACGUCCCUAACCAAGGGAAUGAAGGUUGUCUAGAGGCCGAACCGGAAAAAGAAUUUGGGGAAGAAGUAUACGAAGAUUCCGACUCAGAACCUGAAGUCAAUGAUCAACCUCUAGUGGCUCUAAUGCCAAAUCCUAACCCUCGGCCUAGAUGUCAAGGCCUAACGCCUUUGUGGGCAGAGACUUUAGGUAGGUGGAGCCAUGAAUAGGGCCAACCCCUUCCAUACAAUGGAGACCGCAACUUUAUAACCUGAGCAAGGGAGGCUCCACUGACAUAAUCCUUCCAAUAUUGCUUCGCCGAGUUGCUAGCAAUGAUGAGCAGGGUAGGGCAGCUAUCCACCGAACCAUGGAGCUAGAUGCGAACACUGGAGUCAAUACGGUUCGUAUUCACAACGAAACAUAGUUAAAGCGCAAAUACUUAAACAUCAUAAAAUGUUUGAGUGCUUUAAAUCGAAUCAAUGUGGGAUGUGGCUAUGAUUCAUCAUUACCGUCACCAAAUGGAAAUUGAACUAGCGGUAUCAAUUAUCAGAAAAUAUUACAUAAUUAAUGCAAAAUACGCUAUGUAAGAUGUGCCUAUGAUCCUUGGUAUCUUCACCAAAUGCCAAUUAAACAAGAGGUAUCAGUUAUAUAUAAAUAUUCUUUUGAAACGGCAAACUAAAUUUUACAAUAACUAUAAAUUAAUUACACUUAUUACAUAAUUAAUGCAAAAUAUGCUAUGGAGCUCCCACCCACUCCUUAUAAAUUGAUCAAAGUGAAUACUGUAAAGAUAAAUUUUAUAACUGCUUCAAAAUAAAUUAUAUAAGUAGUAUAAUGUAUCGCCUUUUUGAUUUCGUCUAUUUCUUCUGCAUCUCACUAUUUCCAGUUACUUAUACCAUCGCGUCUUCUAUAAAUAAACCUCUUGAUGUACUCGGUGAAUGGAACAUGUUCGUAAUCAAUGGCAUCAAUGAAGAUAUCAUCUUUCAUGUGAGAUCAAAAGAAGAUGAUCACGGAAAUCACACCCUUUCUUAUAAUGGAAUUUACCAAUGGCAAAUUCAUGAAACAACAACUACAUACUAUUGGAGUCAGUUCUGGUGGGGUUCAAAAUAUCAGGAUUUUCAUGUGUUCGAUAGCCGUCAUCCUUCUAAUGUAUGUGUUAAACAAGGAUUUGGUACACAAUAUUGUUAUUGGUUAGUAAGACCAGAAGGUUUUUAAGUAUCUAAUUUAAACAAUCCAUUUCCUUCUAGAAGUUGGGCUCUGGAUCGGACUUGGGCUUGAAACUUGAAACACUUGUAACAUCAAACAAUUGUAUUAACGAACAUGAUAUUACAUAAAUAUAUAAUAAAGUUGUG